UACGUAGGUGGCAAGCGUUGUCCGGAUUUACUGGGCGUAAAGAGCGCGCAGGCGGUCGUGCAAGUCGGGUGUGAAAGCCCCCGGCUCAACUGGGGAGGGUCACGCGAUACUGCUCGACUUGAAGGCAGGAGAGGGAAGUGGAAUUCCCGGUGUAGUGGUGAAAUGCGUAGAUAUCGGGAGGAACACCAGUGGCGAAGGCGACUUCCUGGCCUGUUCUUGACGCUGAGGCGCGAAAGCUAGGGUAGCAAACGGG
rnacentral:rRNA from 1 species